UACGUAGGAGACAAGCGUUGUCCGGAAUUACUGGGUGUAAAGCGCGUGUAGGCGGUAGGCCAAGUCUGCUGUGAAAUCGCCCGGCUCAACUGGGCGCGGUCGGUGGAAACUGGUCAACUGGAGGACGGUAGAGGCGAGUGGAAUUCCCGGUGUAGUGGUGAAAUGCGUAGAGAUCGGGAGGAACACCAGUGGCGAAGGCGGCUCGCUGGGCCGGUCCUGACGCUGAGACGCGAAGGCGUGGGGAGCAAACGGG
rnacentral:rRNA from 1 species